rnacentral:rRNA from 1 species
AUCUCAGCUUAAGCAAGAGGACCCGCCGAAUUUAAGCAUAUAAUUAAGCGGAGGAAAAGAAACUAACCAGGAUUGUCUCAGUAAGGGCGACUGAAGCGACAAUAGCUCACCAUGUGAAUCUGCGUCAAGCCGAAUUGUGGUCUCACUUGCGCUAUUGGGCCGGGCCAAGUCCGUUGGAACACGGCAGCCGAGAGGGUGACACUCCCGUCCGCCCGGCCCUCUGAGCUUGUGUAUUCGAGUCGAGUUGUUUGGGAUUGCAGCUCUAAGCGGGUGGUAAAUUCCAUCGAAAGCUAAAUAUUGGUGGGAGACCGAUAGCGUACAAGUACCGUGAGGGAAAGAUGCAAAGAAGCGCGAAAGCGCUGUUAAAGAGUACCUGAACUUGCUGAAACGGAAGCGAAGGAAACCAG